AGGUAAGGGAGAGGGAGGAGAGACUUGGCAGAGGCAGGGGUGAGCUAGGCCCCUAGCAGCUUUGGCUUAGGUUCCUUCAAAAUAGCAGGGAAGCUGUUAGCAUUAAUGCUAACUGGUAACAGUGGAUGCAAUAUCACAUUCCAGUGAAGGAAUAGCACUCUUGUGUCAUCAGUGUUGCAAAGACCACACAAUGAAGUUGCAAACAAAUAAUUCUCAACUGCAAUUCAGAAAAUCUGCUUAGGAGUCGCAUCUUCACUGGCUACAUCUUGCUGAUCUUGAUUUUGUCUGGAAUUAGCUACAGAUUAAUCUGGUGAUUGAGCACCUGGUGGGAAGGCAGGGCCAACCCAGGGGAGCUCAGGUGUAUGCAGUGUACCUGAGUGACUGGAAGGAGUAGAGCCAGCAUCCAUCCCUUUCCAGUCCUCAUCUACGGGUUGGCAGUGGAGGUGAGGGCAUCUUGUUGGAGAUCUCUGUGUACCUGAGCCCUUCUAAGGGUGAUAGAAAUGCGACUCCCUGAAGAGACAUAUUUUCCGUCUGAGCCCACCCUCAAUCUAAACAGUGACUCACAGAAGAAGACAAUUUACCUAUAACAAAAG
ensembl:lncRNA